rnacentral:rRNA from 1 species
AACGAACGCUGGCGGCAUGCCUAACACAUGCAAGUCGAACGAGACCUUCGGGUCUAGUGGCGCACGGGUGCGUAACGCGUGGGAACCUGCCCUUAGGUUCGGAAUAACUCCCCGAAAGGGGUGCUAAUACCGGAUAAUGUCUUCGGACCAAAGAUUUAUCGCCUUUGGAUGGGCCCGCGUUGGAUUAGCUAGUUGGUAGGGUAAAAGCCUACAAAGGCGACGAUCCAUAGCUGGUCUGAGAGGAUGAUCAGCCACACUGGGACUGAGACACGGCCCAGACUCCUACGGGAGGCAGCAGUGGGGAAUAUGGGACAAUGGGCGAAAGCCGGAGCCAGCAAUGCCGCGUGAGUGAUGAAGGCCUUAGGGUUGUAAAGCUCUUUUACCCGGGAUGAUAAUGACAGUACCGGGAGAAUAAGCACCGGCGAACUCCGU